ensembl:snRNA U6 U6 spliceosomal RNA
GUGCUCGCUUUGGCAGCACAAAACUGGAAUGAUAUACAUUAGCAUGGACCCUGCGCAAGGAUGACACGCAAAUACGUGAAGAGUUCCAUACCCCU